AGCGAACGCUGGCGGCAGGCUUAACACAUGCAAGUCGAGCGGGCAUCUUCGGAUGUCAGCGGCAGACGGGUGAGUAACACGUGGGAACGUACCCUUCGGUUCGGAACAACUCUGGGAAACUGGAGCUAAUACCGGAUACUCCCUUAUGGGGAAAGGUUUACUGCCGAAGGAUCGGCCCGCGUCUGAUUAGCUAGUUGGUGGGGUAACGGCCUACCAAGGCGACGAUCAGUAGCUGGUCUGAGAGGAUGAUCAGCCACACUGGGACUGAGAAACGGCCCAGACUACUACGGGAGGCAGCAGUGGGGAAUAUUGGAAAAUGGGCGCAAGACUGAUCCAGCCAUGACGCGUGAGUGAUGAAGGCCUUAGGGUUGUAAAGCUCUUUUGUCCGGGACGAUAAUGACGGUACCGGAAGAAUAAGCCCCGGCUAACUUCGUG
rnacentral:rRNA from 1 species